rnacentral:rRNA from 1 species
GAUGAACGCUGGCGGCGUGCCUAAUACAUGCAAGUAGAACGCUGAAGGAAGGAGCUUGCUCUUUCCGGAUGAGUUGCGAACGGGUGAGUAACGCGUAGGUAACCUGCCUGGUAGCGGGGGAUAACUAUUGGAAACGAUAGCUAAUACCGCAUAACAGUAGAUGUUGCAUGAUACCUACUUAAAAGGUGCAAUUGCACCACUACCAGAUGGACCUGCGUUGUAUUAGCUAGUUGGUGAGGUAACGGCUCACCAAGGCGACGAUACAUAGCCGACCUGAGAGGGUGAUCGGCCACACUGGGACUGAGACACGGCCCAGACUCCUACGGGAGGCAGCAGUAGGGAAUCUUCGGCAAUGGACGGAAGUCUGACCGAGCAACGCCGCGUGAGUGAAGAAGGUUUUCGGAUCGUAAAGCUCUGUUGUAAGAGAAGAACGAGUGUGAGAGUGGAAAGUUCACACUGUGACGGUAGCUUACCAGAAAGGGACGGCUAACUACGUG